ACUUCUACUCAAGCACGGGGAUUCGUUUAGUGGGAAGAAGAAGGAAAAAUUGAGUACUACAAAAAAAUAAUCUAGGAGCAGGAGCUUGGAUGGUACUCUUUCUUAGGGCUUGAAAGCUUCAGUGUUCUAGUGGCUUUUCAUCCUUGUUCUUUCGGUCGGUGAGUACGGUAAAAGUCCUGGGGCUAGGAAGUAACCGCCUCUUAGAAAAGGUUUCUUACUUUGAUAUUGAUUAUAAAUCCGAAUCUUAUAUAUAAGUAAAAGUCAUGGGCUCACCUUAUUAUAGAAGUUCUUACUUGGCGAAGAAGACUGAUCUAUUAGAAUAUCAAGGCGAAGGGAUGCGGGCAAGAAGCUAAUAGGAUAGGCUCAAUAGCUGCUCAGAAAGGUUGACGUCAGGGCAUCAUCCCCGCGCUUGAAAGCUUCAGUGUUCUAGGAAACCCUGCCUGGCGAAUAGAACGAGUGAAGUCAACGUCUACUAAAAGCAUAGGAAGAGUCAACUCUUAUGUUGCAAGGUUCCCCACAACCAGUAAUAAGCACUAAACUUAACUCUAUAAGGAUAGACGGGGUGAUUGCUUGCUCACUUACUAAGACAAUCGAUAGGUCUUUAGGAUAUGAGAACAUCCUUCCCUUUCCCCGUCUAAGCACAGCUGAGAGAAUCUGACUGGGAGGCUGCGGGGGCGGUACCAUCUUCUCUCCACCAGAACCAGAGGCUUAAAUUUAUAGUGAACGGGAAUCAGAUGACCGUGAGGGGUGAAGACUCAGUCUUUCUG
rnacentral:lncRNA from 1 species